rnacentral:rRNA from 1 species
AUGAAGUCGGAAUUGCUGUAAUCGCGGAUCAGCAUGCCGCGGUGAAUACGUUCCCGGGCCUUGUACACACCGCCCGUCACACCAUGGGAGCCGGUAAUACCCGAAGUCAGUAGUCCAACCACGUGAGGACGCUGCCGAAGGUAGGAUUGGCGACUGGGGUGAAGUCGUAACAAGGUACC